GAGUUUGAUCUUGGCUCAGGAUGAACGCUGGCGGCGUGCCUAACACAUGCAAGUCGAGCGAAGCAUACAGGAGGAAGUUUUCGGAUGGAAUCCUGCAUGGCUGAGCGGCGGACGGGUGAGUAACGCGUGGGUAACCUGCCUUAUACAGGGGGAGUAGCAGUUAGAAAUAGACUGCUAAUACCGCAUAAGCGCACAGUACCGCAUGGUAGUGUGUGAAAACUACCGGUGGUAUAAGAUGGACCCGCGUCUGACUAGCCAGUUGG
rnacentral:rRNA from 1 species